rnacentral:sRNA from 1 species
UUUUUUUUUUUUUUUUUUUUUAACAGUAGUAAAAUUGUAAACUUUUAUUUUUAUACCAUAGUAGUAUGGCUAUGAUUGGAAGGUUGUAGUGUCAGUCAAGUUGGAAAAACUGUUGGCACUUUUUUUCUGAAUCAAUGGAAUUCUUAUCAAACACAUGCAAACGUAUAAAGAAGACUUGAAUAGAUAAUCUUUGAAUUCAAACAAAUCCUAGUCAACUGAACAACGCAUCUACCUCAGCAGUCCUUGGGAAAUGUAUAAAUAGGCAAGCAUUAAACUUUUAUAUAUAAAACCAUCAAGAUCUCUAUUUUUAACUCGGGGGUUUCUUUCACAAGACUUACUUCAAGAACGACAACACAUCCUGACAGNGUAAUUCAUUAAUACUAAUACUAUCGAGGAUUCUGUCAUCCAAGNGGAAUGAACAUGGGCAUCAAAGGAAUGUUUCCUCAAAGUGAGAACUAUAGNGUUGCAAGAGCGAAUACUUGGUCGCUUAGAACAAAACGAAUUACUGUCAUUAGGAUAUGCUCAAAAGUGUGGCGCUAUAUCUUGUAUCUAUUGCUACGUUCAUUCAUUGAUCCAACAGUAUGGGUAUAGAAAGAAGACGAUAAGCAGGAGUUGCGCAAACGAAGUUAUGGAGUUUCUUGCAUGCAUGCAUGUUUUGGCAUAAAGCUGGUACUUCGAAAUAUGCCUAUGAAAUCUCUACCUGCUUUGCNCCCUAAANAUAACGUGUCGUCUUGNAGCUGCAUGUGAAUUACCACGAUNGNUAGAUGAAAACNAAUCGACUUGGUGCCCAUUUCAUCGNUUCAAACNACUGGNAGGGGNGCUUGNGCCAUACCCAUGNUGGGGCCUAUCCAANNNAGGNCGGGGGGUUUGCUUUAUNAACUNGGNCAAGAA